GCUAUGAUGCAAAUGUAUUGAACAGGAAAAAAAAAUCAUACGGGUCAACUAGUUUUUAAAUGACAAAAGGGGAUGGACUCGUACUUCAAAAUGACCGAUAUAAUAAUAACGUACUCAACUUCAAAGAUGCAAUUGUUGCGCCACAUUGCACCUGAUCUGCUGUCAGCUAUUCACAGUCGACUCAUGAAUGAGCUCUACCGGACAAAUGUUUUACUAAUUCGUCUCCUUGUUUCAUGUUUUUUCACCUCAAACCUCGACGUAAAUAAGAACUUGAGUUCGCUUUGCACACGAUAAAGCCUGAUGUCAAGGAAGAUGGCAGAUCUUUAUGUAUGAAAAUUUGAAGUAAAAGAAAGUGAAGCUCGACGUCGGUCCACUGAUCUCUGUACGAACAAAUCAUUACUCUGCGGCUUCUUAGCAAAAGCUGAAAAGCGCAAUCUUCAAGCACGAAGUGCGGGGUUGCCGUUCGUUCCUAAUGGUUGCCUAUUCUGGUUCACUCUAAAUGAAUGUCUACGUCGUUGGUCGUAGAAACGUGGUCCUGGCCUCGCUUUCAAUAGGUAAAUACACAUAGAAUUCAUGCAUGAAGACCUAUGUAAUAGAUAUCUAUCAAUAACAGUAUCAUAGCGGUAUUCUUAAACCAGCCGCACACAGUGCGAUGUGUAUCAUAUGCACUUGUGAUUUAUAUGGUUUUUUCUCUUUGGUUUGAUCCUUUGUUAAGAACCGCAUAGGACUUUCCUCUUCAUUCACUUUUAUUUAUGAUGAUUUGCUGAUAAGAUUAUAACAGGAGAAAAGGCGCACAGAAGAAAUAGCGCAGUUUUUUACAUUUAUUUGAAAUCCGUUCUUCUAAAAGACCCAUACUAGUGUUCCGUAGAGCCUUCCAGAUUUCAUCGUACAAUUCAUCUUACCGAAAGGAAAAUGUGGUUUUAUUUGAUCUCUGUGUUUUUUCCAGUUGCGAUCCUAUGCUAAGCAGGCGAAGCUUGCCCGCUCAGCCGGAUAGAAUUUUUUUGCUUCUAUGACCUUAUAUUUUCAAUUCGCCUGCCCCCUAGCACCAGUUCACUGCGUUCUCAUCACUAUCCGGCGAUGAUGGGUGUUCAAGUACCGUAAAUGGAACGAGCCCCGUCUACUAAUUCUACCUCGAUGUUAUGGGUCUACUUUUAGGGUAUAUGACUCAUCAGAAUAUCACUUUUCAUAGAAAUCAAUGUGAGAGCAAUAAACGAGUCAAGCGUUUGAGCAGGUCACUAACAAACUUGGCAUCAGAGGACCACUUGUUCGAUAACUGAUAAUUUUAAUAGCAUUUUGCAAUAAAUGAUUAAUCUUCCUGGUUUGAUAGUAAGAAUACAUUUACACAAAGCGGGCCAGCAUUGAUAAAACGAUCGCUUCUAACCUGGAUGCUGGAGUACUCUACUCUACUGCCUAUUGCCUUAACGCAAAUAUAAAUACGUGUCCGGUGGCUAUCACGAUUUCCAUUCUGGCUCCUUCUGGCUUUAAUGAAGCAUUCUACGUGCUCUAUUGCGAUGUAGUUAUCAAAUGCACAAAUAAUGGGGUCGUCUAUUCAUAACAAUGGCCAUUGCUUCCAACGCUUCGCUUGAAGCCGAUCAAAUCUUCAGGCGUUAGGUCAC